GUCAUUUCCAAAGCAUGACUCACUCAAAUAUUGAAGACUAAAAAGCAAUGUCAACAGUCAUAUGUCAAUACAAUAUGUAAAUCAAUCAGAGUCACUAUCUUCAUCAUUUUCCGAGUUUGUCACGAGGCAAAUGGUGUCUCCAAAGAAAGUACAUGUGCAGACAACAUGAAACUUUAGACUGCAGAAAAUUGCACAAGCAGUUAUCAAACUCAUGUCACAGAAGUGGUAAAGGACAUGUGUGACAACCGAAUGGUAUCCUUUUGUAAAGUUUUUGGCCGGGGGUGG